rnacentral:rRNA from 1 species
UAAGGCUGAGGCGUGAUGACGAGGCACUACGGUGCUGAAGCAACAAAUGCCCUGCUUCCAGGAAAAGCCUCUAAGCAUCAGGUAACAUCAAAUCGUACCCCAAACCGACACAGGUGGUCAGGUAGAGAAUACCAAGGCGCUUGAGAGAACUCGGGUGAAGGAACUAGGCAAAAUGGUGCCGUAACUUCGGGAGAAGGCACGCUGAUAUGUAGGUGAAGUCCCUCGCGGAUGGAGCUGAAAUCAGUCGAAGAUACCAGCUGGCUGCAACUGUUUAUUAAAAACACAGCACUGUGCAAACACGAAAGUGGACGUAUACGGUGUGACGCCUGCCCGGUGCCGGAAGGUUAAUUGAUGGGGUUAGCGCAAGCGAAGCUCUUGAUCGAAGCCCCGGUAAACGGCGGCCGUAACUAUAACGGUCCUAAGGUAGCGAAAUUCCUUGUCGGGUAAGUUCCGACCUGCACGAAUGGCGUAAUGAUGGCCAGGCUGUCUCCACCCGAGACUCAGUGAAAUUGAACUCGCUGUGAAGAUGCAGUGUACCCGCGGCAAGACGGAAAGACCCCGUGAACCUUUACUAUAGCUUGACACUGAACAUUGAGCAUUGAUGUGUAGGAUAGGUGGGAGGCUUUGAAGUGUGGACGCCAGUCUGCAUGGAGCCGACCUUGAAAUACCACCCUUUAAUGUUUGAUGUUCUAACGUUGACCCGUAAUCCGGGUUGCGGACAGUGUCUGGUGGGUAGUUUGACUGGGGCGGUCUCCUCCUAAAGAGUAACGGAGGAGCACGAAGGUUGGCUAAUCCUGGUCGGACAUCAGGAGGUUAGUGCAAUGGCAUAAGCCAGCUUGACUGCGAGCGUGACGGCGCGAGCAGGUGCGAAAGCAGGUCAUAGUGAUCCGGUGGUUCUGAAUGGAAGGGCCAUCGCUCAACGGAUAAAAGGUACUCCGGGGAUAACAGGCUGAUACCGCCCAAGAGUUCAUAUCGACGGCGGUGUUUGGCACCUCGAUGUCGGCUCAUCACAUCCUGGGGCUGAAGUAGGUCCCAAGGGUAUGGCUGUUCGCCAUUUAAAGUGGUACGCGAGCUGGGUUUAGAACGUCGUGAGACAGUUCGGUCCCUAUCUGCCGUGGGCGCUGGAGAACUGAGGGGGGCUGCUCCUAGUACGAGAGGACCGGAGUGGACGCAUCACUGGUGUUCGGGUUGUCAUGCCAAUGGCACUGCCCGGUAGCUAAAUGCGGAAGAGAUAAGUGCUGAAAGCAUCUAAGCACGAAACUUGCCCCGAGAUGAGUUCUCCCUGACUCCUUGAGAGUCCUGAAGGAACGUUGAAGACGACGACGUUGAUAGGCCGGGUGUGUAAGCGCAGCGAUGCGUUGAGCUAACCGGUACUAAUGAACCGUGAGG